GUGGUUGUGACUCAGUGGUAGAGCACUCGCCUGGAAUGUGCGAGGAGGCGCUGGGUUCGAUCCUCAGCACCACA
rnacentral:tRNA from 1 species